AACUAGAACAGUACCCAGACCAGCACCCAGACUGAAACCAGACCAGUACCCAGACCAGUUCAAGACUAAAACCCAACCAGUACCCAGACUGAAACCAGAACAGUACCCAACUAUUAAACCAGUUUUAGUCCAGUCUCAGACCAGGUUUAUCAGAGUCUCAGUCUGGUUUAUCCUCAUUAGUCCUUCAGAAACCGCUCAAUGUGGUUGUCUCAAUGUACUUGUUUUGGAUCAGUUUGGACCACCAGGGCCCUUUAGUCAUCUUGUUCUUUAAACCAGAACCAGGAGUCUAAUUCCCACUAACAGGCAGGAUCCUGAACCCUGACCUCGUCUCAGACCAGUUCAGACUAGUUUAAAUGAUUGGGUGUCUGUAUUUGUUGUUGACUUUGUUCUUUUCUUUAAUCCAGGAAGGAUUCUGGUUCCCAGUAACUGAUCCUGGUCCUGGUCCUGUCCCUGGUCCUGUCCCUGGUCCUGUUCCUGUUCCUGUCCCUACCCCUGUCCCUGGUCCUGGCCCUGGUCCUGUUCCUGUCCCUGUCCCUGGUCCUGGUCCUGCUUGCUGUGUUUGGAGCUCAGCAGACUGUCAGUGCUGCCACCUGCUGGACCGUCUGAACACUGAUUCUCUGAUGAUCUGGACUCUGAUACUGAUCAGGUUCAGUGUGGCUCUGGAUCUGGACUCUGAUGCUUUACUGUGUGAAAUCAAUAUUCAGCUUUUUGAAUCCAAUAUAAUCUGGUGGUGUGAAUGAUUUUAUUACCUGCAGUCAGAAACUCUCUGUGGAUUAUUGAUCAGAUAUCAAUCAACAGGAAGUGGAAUGAUCUAUUGAUUCUGUCUGAGAGCUCUGUCAUUGAUUAUAAAGUUCAUAUUAAAGUUUUAAAGACAUUUGUGUUUAAAGUUCAUGAAGGUUUAAUGUCACCGACAACCAUUCAACUCAACUUUAUGUGUACGUUGGUUCUGAACAGAAGGGUUAGGGUCAGUGAGAGAAGCUGCAGGUUCAUAUGGAACCGACUCAUUAUUGAUUACCCACAGCUCUUAAUAUCAUAGGCCUUCAUAUAUAUUAUUGAUAAACACAAUACAGAAAUAAUAAUGGUCACAAUGUUCAAAUAUUAACAGUAUAUAGUCCUACCUGUAGUAUUUAUUAUUAAAAUAAUAACAGUAAUAUAUAGUCCUACCUGUAGUAUUCGUAAUUAAAAUAAUAACAGUAUGUAGUCCUACCUGUAGUAUUUUAUUAAUUCAUUUAAUUAUUUUAUUAACUGAUGACUGAACAGAUCAGGAACCAGAUUAAUGAGUCCCUGCUGUUAGUCUGGAGCAGAUUAUCUGCACAGAAUAAUAAUAUAUUACCAUAAUAACAGACAGACUUAAUGCAGAGUUAUUAAGUGUUCAUUAUAGAGUCUGAUCCAGCCUCUCAGUGGGGCCACAGCCGGUGUAUUGUCCUCAGAUUCAGUGUUUAUCAAUGAAGAUCAAUAUUUCUAUUAUCCAUCUGUUGAAACCAAACACUAUAUCUAUAUAUAAACUAUAUAUAUAUAUAUAUAUAUAUAUAAACCCCUGAAACCUGCUCUCUCCUCAACCUUUUAAACACAUUAGCAGGAACCUGUGAGCUUUGUCAUCAUUUCAAACCAAAUUUGUUCUUUUGUUUGUUUUUAUUAGAACUGUAUGUGAAGAGGUAGAAAACUAUCAAUCUUGAUCGAGAUUUUCUUCUUCAUGUGGUGGGCCGGAGGGAGGAGGAUGGAGGGCCAGAAAUGGGCUGCAGGCCAGCAGUUUAACCCCCUGGUCUGUUCCCUCCAUACUGAUAAUACAGACACAGUCAGUCUCAUUAUCUGAUCAUAGUUUGUGGUGAAGCUGAAGGUUUUAAUGACCAUUGUUUCCUCCUGUGAGUGCAGACGAUGUGAUCAGUUUAACAAUGAUUGUACCGACUGGUCCUCGGUCCCAGUGGACAGACAACCAGCAUCAUGUGAGUCCUUCAGAGGGUUUUAGUCUCAGUGUGGAGCUGAAGAGGAGCUGCAGCAGUCAGUGAGGGUGAGCUGUAAUUACUGUACACUUUAUUAUCACUGAGACUCUGUUUACCCACUGAUGGUGCACACACACUGUUCUACCUGUGAGACCCCCCCAUUAAUAAAGUGAUAAAGCACCAGUGUUGGACAGUAACUCAUUACUAGUAAUCAGAUUACUUUCUACACUAACUAGUAGUGUAAGUAAGUACUAAUACAUCUCAGUAAUAAUAUUACAGUUAACCAAAAUAAAUAGUUAGUAGUUCUUUAAUCCAACAACCAAUCACAUCCUUGGAUUCAUGUUUGUGAUCGUAGAGGAAAAUACUCUAUUACUUUGAUUUUAACAAACAGAACUGGAUUUUAAUUUCUAAAUUAAAAGUCUAAAUUUGGGCAGAAAGGACACAAUUAUUCAUUAUUUUAGUAAAAGUAAUAUAACUAGUAGUAUAACAUGUUAAGAGUAAUAAGUAAUGAGUAAUAAAUUACUUUUUCUGAGUAACUAGCCCAACACUGGCCACCACAAACCAGAGCAGCAUCUAAAGAGAGUGAUCAGUCCGACCAGCAGGAGGCACACGAGCAGUGGCGGUCCUUCCUACAGGCGACGUAGGCGCUUGCCGAGGGCGCCACCUAGUGAGGGGCGGCAAAUAUGUGGCGAGAAAAAAGUUAUAAUUAAAAUGAUAAUGUCUAUUUAUUUGUUCAACAGUUUUUGCGAUCCCUCUAUCUACAACAACACGGUGACAUAAAACAUAAAUUAAACUUCAGUAAAAGAAACGAUUCUGACCUCUGACCUUUAGCUGUUCUUCACGGUCACAACAUGCUGCGCACACUGACGCACAGUCGGUCGGUCGGCUGUGUGUCCACUGGUUAAUAAUAAUAAUAAUAAUAAUAAUAAUAAUAAUAAUAAUACAUUUUAUUUGUAAAGCACUUUACACAAAAUAACUUAAAAACUUAAAAUUUUAACAGUGUCCACAGACUGGGGUUUCCACAGAUGUUCAGGGAGGGAGUUCCAGAUGUGAGGGGCAGCGGAGCAGAAGGCUCGGUCUCCCAUGCUGCAGAGUCUUGAGCGGGGCUGAUGGAGGAGGUUUGUGCUUUGGGACCGGAGGUUACGGGUGGAUGAGUGAGGGGUAAGGAGGUCUUUGAGGUAUCGGGGGCGUGGGUGAUGAGGACGAUCUCGUAUUGGAUUGUUGAGGUUAUGGGAGCCAGUGGAGGUUCUGAAGAAUGUGGUCGUAUUUGCGGGUUUUCAUCAGAGUUCGGGCAGCACAGUUCUGAAUGAACUGAAGGUUCUGAAGGUGUUUAUUGGGUAUACCGAUGAGCAGGCUGUUACAGGAAUCAAGCCUGGAGGAGAUUAAGGCUAUACGAGUGUUUCUGCGUCAGAGAAAGUGAGAAAGGGGUGGAGUUUUGAAAUGUUGUUGAUAUGGAAAAAGCAGGUUCUGUACAGAUGUUUGAUGUGUUUGCAAAGGUCAGUUGUGGGUCCAGCUUCACACCAAGGUUGGUAACUGUGGUUGAGAGGAGGAUGUCUUGACCGGAAAAGGAGAUGGAGGUUGGUCCGUGUAUGUUUUGGUCAUUGGAUGUUCCUUUCAGAAACGGGGAUUAAAAACAGAAAACGAGUGGUUAUUUGAUUUUCGUUUUAAAAUACAAAAAUUAAAAUUGAAAUACAAGGCGUUUUUCUUUUUCAUGGUCAGAAAGGGAUGAGCGAAAUUUUAAAAGAUAUUCGAUUUUCAUUUUCUAUUUCAUAUAACAAAAAAUAAAAUCACUAGAAAACAGAAACAGGGAGACAGAAACACAGACUGAUUCACAGACAGACACACAGACUGAUUCACAGACAGAAACACAGACAGAAACACAGACUGAAACACAGACAGACACACAGACUGAAACACAGACAGAUUCACAGACAGAAACAC
rnacentral:lncRNA from 15 species